UCAGAAGAGACAGUUGUUUUUGCAAGCUUAUUUCUUAUUUUACUUAUGAGGAUCAUUUUUUAAUUGCAGAACUGGAAUCGCAGUCCUGAGAUCCCUUCACCAGGUAUCACAGAUCCUAAGAUGACAUCUUCACCUUCUCUCAAGGCUGCUUUGAACUUACGAUGUCAACGCUGCGCACAUCACAGAGCUCCUGUAGGUGGUAGAACGUUAGAAAUCACGUCGUUCAGUUGAGAAGGCACGAGAGAGAAGGCGUCAGAACAAGGGUCAACACAGUGAAAUGAGGAACAGUCCAGGGCCCCAGCACGAACAGCAAGAAAAGCGUAGAAAUGGUACCACGCAGCCCAGAGACUCAGAAUACUCCAUCUCUCUUGGCAUGGAACUGCUCCGACCUGCACGGUUCUGAAAUAACAGGAAAUACUUCUCCCGUAACCGCACUGCAUUUUAGAGAUCGCAAAUGUGACAGACAGGCACUCCCGGCAUGAGUCAGCAUUAUCUAGCAGGAGGGUUGUUGACACCUGCUCUUCGUUAGCAGAUCCUCUAGAACUGUCAGGAUAAUGUGCAGAAUGAGAUUUACGAAGAAGUUGGGAAGAACUAUACCUAGGUCUGAAGACGUCUUAUAACUGAAGGUUUGCCUGGUGAAUUUAAGCCAUGGCACGAAGCUGACCACACCGCAUUCACUGGAUAACACCUUCGGAGAUUCAUUCUGCGGCUUAGGAACGAGAAGGUGUCUUCAUGUAAACGCUCUUCCGGCAUCACUAGGAAAAUUACACUGUGCCUUCAAUAAACCACCACGUCUGUUCUCUCCCUGAUGCAAUCUUGAUGUAAUGUUUAUUUAUAGAUUACUUACUUUAUUAACCAUGGAUGGUUUGCUUGACCUGAGAGGUGCACGAAGAUUCUGAUGAUGGUCAGGCCAGUUAGUGGAUGCCGACUAGGACAUUGCUAAUCAAAAGUUGGUCUGAAACAACAGAAUCACCUGGGAGAUUCUCAGACUUUCAGAAACUCAGGCCCAGUCACAGACCCAGCGAGUCAAAACUUGUGCUACAACAAGACCCCCAGGUGCAUCUUGAGGACAUCCAAGUCAGUGUCUGUUUCCACGAAGUUGGAAAUAUUAAGAAAAAGGCAAAGAAAGCGAACUCUAGUUAUG